rnacentral:rRNA from 1 species
UUAAGCGACUAAGCGUACACGGUGGAUGCCCUGGCAGUCAGAGGCGAUGAAGGACGUGCUAAUCUGCGAUAAGCGUCGGUAAGGUGAUAUGAACCGUUAUAACCGGCGAUUUCCGAAUGGGGAAACCCAGUGUGUUUCGACACACUAUCAUUAACUGAAUCCAUAGGUUAAUGAGGCGAACCGGGGGAACUGAAACAUCUAAGUACCCCGAGGAAAAGAAAUCAACCGAGAUUCCCCCAGUAGCGGCGAGCGAACGGGGAGCAGCCCAGAGCCUGAAUCAGUGUGUGUGUUAGUGGAAGCGUCUGGAAAGGCGCGCGAUACAGGGUGACAGCCCCGUACACAAAAAUGCACAUACUGUGAGCUCGAUGAGUAGGGCGGGACACGUGGUAUCCUGUCUGAAUAUGGGGGGACCAUCCUCCAAGGCUAAAUACUCCUGACUGACCGAUAGUGAACCAGUACCGUGAGGGAAAGGCGAAAAGAACCCCGGCGAGGGGAGUGAAAAAGAACCUGAAACCGUGUACGUACAAGCAGUGGGAGCACGCUUAGGCGUGUGACUGCGUACCUUUUGUAUAAUGGGUCAGCGACUUAUAUUCUGUAGCAAGGUUAACCGAAUAGGGGAGCCGAAGGGAAACCGAGUCUUAACUGGGCGUUAAGUUGCAGGGUAUAGACCCGAAACCCGGUGAUCUAGCCAUGGGCAGGUUGAAGGUUGGGUAACACUAACUGGAGGACCGAACCGACUAAUGUUGAAAAAUUAGCGGAUGACUUGUGGCUGGGGGUGAAAGGCCAAUCAAACCGGGAGAUAGCUGGUUCUCCCCGAAAGCUAUUUAGGUAGCGCCUCGUGAAUUCAUCUCCGGGGGUAGAGCACUGUUUCGGCAAGGGGGUCAUCCCGACUUACCAACCCGAUGCAAACUGCGAAUACCGGAGAAUGUUAUCACGGGAGACACACGGCGGGUGCUAACGUCCGUCGUGAAGAGGGAAACAACCCAGACCGCCAGCUAAGGUCCCAAAGUCAUGGUUAAGUGGGAAACGAUGUGGGAAGGCCCAGACAGCCAGGAUGUUGGCUUAGAAGCAGCCAUCAUUUAAAGAAAGCGUAAUAGCUCACUGGUCGAGUCGGCCUGCGCGGAAGAUGUAACGGGGCUAAACCAUGCACCGAAGCUGCGGCAGCGACGCUGAUGCGUUGUUGGGUAGGGGAGCGUUCUGUAAGCCUGCGAAGGUGUGCUGUGAGGCAUGCUGGAGGUAUCAGAAGUGCGAAUGCUGACAUAAGUAACGAUAAAGCGGGUGAAAAGCCCGCUCGCCGGAAGACCAAGGGUUCCUGUCCAACGUUAAUCGGGGCAGGGUGAGUCGACCCCUAAGGCGAGGCCGAAAGGCGUAGUCGAUGGGAAACAGGUUAAUAUUCCUGUACUUGGUGUUACUGCGAAGGGGGGACGGAGAAGGCUAUGUUGGCCGGGCGACGGUUGUCCCGGUUUAAGCGUGUAGGCUGGUUUUCCAGGCAAAUCCGGAAAAUCAAGGCUGAGGCGUGAUGACGAGGCACUACGGUGCUGAAGCAACAAAUGCCCUGCUUCCAGGAAAAGCCUCUAAGCAUCAGGUAACAUCAAAUCGUACCCCAAACCGACACAGGUGGUCAGGUAGAGAAUACCAAGGCGCUUGAGAGAACUCGGGUGAAGGAACUAGGCAAAAUGGUGCCGUAACUUCGGGAGAAGGCACGCUGAUAUGUAGGUGAAGUCCCUCGCGGAUGGAGCUGAAAUCAGUCGAAGAUACCAGCUGGCUGCAACUGUUUAUUAAAAACACAGCACUGUGCAAACACGAAAGUGGACGUAUACGGUGUGACGCCUGCCCGGUGCCGGAAGGUUAAUUGAUGGGGUCAGCGCAAGCGAAGCUCUUGAUCGAAGCCCCGGUAAACGGCGGCCGUAACUAUAACGGUCCUAAGGUAGCGAAAUUCCUUGUCGGGUAAGUUCCGACCUGCACGAAUGGCGUAAUGAUGGCCAGGCUGUCUCCACCCGAGACUCAGUGAAAUUGAACUCGCUGUGAAGAUGCAGUGUACCCGCGGCAAGACGGAAAGACCCCGUGAACCUUUACUAUAGCUUGACACUGAACAUUGAGCCUUGAUGUGUAGGAUAGGUGGGAGGCUUUGAAGUGUGGACGCCAGUCUGCAUGGAGCCGACCUUGAAAUACCACCCUUUAAUGUUUGAUGUUCUAACGUGGACCCGUAAUCCGGGUUGCGGACAGUGUCUGGUGGGUAGUUUGACUGGGGCGGUCUCCUCCUAAAGAGUAACGGAGGAGCACGAAGGUUGGCUAAUCCUGGUCGGACAUCAGGAGGUUAGUGCAAUGGCAUAAGCCAGCUUGACUGCGAGCGUGACGGCGCGAGCAGGUGCGAAAGCAGGUCAUAGUGAUCCGGUGGUUCUGAAUGGAAGGGCCAUCGCUCAACGGAUAAAAGGUACUCCGGGGAUAACAGGCUGAUACCGCCCAAGAGUUCAUAUCGACGGCGGUGUUUGGCACCUCGAUGUCGGCUCAUCACAUCCUGGGGCUGAAGUAGGUCCCAAGGGUAUGGCUGUUCGCCAUUUAAAGUGGUACGCGAGCUGGGUUUAGAACGUCGUGAGACAGUUCGGUCCCUAUCUGCCGUGGGCGCUGGAGAACUGAGGGGGGCUGCUCCUAGUACGAGAGGACCGGAGUGGACGCAUCACUGGUGUUCGGGUUGUCAUGCCAAUGGCACUGCCCGGUAGCUAAAUGCGGAAGAGAUAAGUGCUGAAAGCAUCUAAGCACGAAACUUGCCCCGAGAUGAGUUCUCCCUGACUCCUUGAGAGUCCUGAAGGAACGUUGAAGACGACGACGUUGAUAGGCCGGGUGUGUAAGCGCAGCGAUGCGUUGAGCUAACCGGUACUAAUGAACCGUGAGGCUUAACCUU